UACAACUUCAGACAGAAGGACUUAGGAAGUUAAACCUCAUUGUUUUUGCCCUGUGUGAGUUAGUAUAUGAUAGGCAGCUGAACAUUUAAGUGAGGACUCUCUCAAGACUGGUUUUAUCUGCCAUGCCUGAGGUAAACCUUUGAGCAUGUGCUAAAGGCCCAGCUGAAGCACUUGGUACCUUAAGAAGGUACCUUGCUCAAGUUUUUACUCAGGCAGUUUGUCUGCACUAGGCAUGAGGCAGGGUUCCCACAGUUCAGUCUGCCAGAAGGUGUCCUAUGCACCAACUUUCCUACACAGUUGGUAGAUGUUUCCCAUGCUGGAGCCAGGAUACAGCUGACAUUGUGAUGGUUAGUAUGUAUAAACCUUAGCUUAGGCAGACAUGAUGUAAAGAAGCUCAAGCAACAGGCAUUCUAAAAAAUUCUAGGAGUGUGGAAGAAAAAGAAGUGCAGAAGAAAUCCAAGUAACUUUUGAGAAGCUACUAAAAAUGUUUCCAGUGAAGACCUCUGAUAGCUAAGUUGAAUGACUUGAAGGCAAUCCUUGAGCCCUCUAUUUCCAUGAUUUUGAAGGAAGAUGUUUUGAGGCAGAAUUGCAGCAAAACUGAAGCUAUAGAAAUAGAGGGAGAACAGUGCUGUCCCAUCUCUUGACUCAGAAAGGUGCAUGAGAAGAGGAAGAUAUCAUGGACGACAAGACUUGGAGAGGGAAAGUCAUUCCAGUCCUUGACAAGCUUCUGUGAAUCUCUGAGAAGCUGGUGAAGGUCAAUCCCAGUGGUUUCAGAGUUGAGGAUGCAGAGGAUGUGAGGCCUGCUACAAUCCAAUUGAAAAAGGGAUAUUGAUAAUAUAAGAUGGGGUCCAAGCUUCUUCGGAAGUGGUUGGCACAUCCCUUGCCCUGCUGGCCACUGCCCUUUUGAUGCAGCUCAAGAUACUGUUGGCCUUCCAGGCUGCAAGAGCACACUGCUGGCUCUUCUUUUUUUUUUUCUGAUUUUUUCCCCCAUCUAGCUGAGAGGGGAGUGAACAAAUGGCUGUGUGGUGCUCAUCUGCCUACCAGGUUAAACCACCAUAGUGUGGAUGCACCUGCUGAUACCUCAUAGACACUGGCAGCUUUCGGAAAACAGUAUGAAUCUAUCCUUGGUUUUAGAAAGAGAAGGCUUACAUGCCCGUGCUUAAGGGUUCAUUCUCCUCAGAGGGCUGGUUCCAAGAUGAGCUCCUUGGAAAGUCCCUGUUUAGAAGUUUUUGAAGAUCUUAAGAGUCAAAAUCCUAAGUAACAUGUUCUGAAUUCAGUGCUGACCCACCUUUGAGAAGGAGUUUGGACAAAGUCUCUGAAGAUAUCUUUCAACCUGAAUAAGCCUGUGAUACGUAGAAGAGGACAUUGAGCUGUGGGUCCUGAGAGACUGUGACAGCUAAUUUCUGGGGAGACAUGAGAUGCAAGAUACAUGCCUGUUUAUACAGAUAUACUUGCUGGAUCACACUGCUUCUACUUCAACUUUGAGGCUUUUAUGGAUUUCAAUCUUGGAUUCAUAAAUCAUCUUUUAACAUAAUGAACUAAUGUUAUUUGUGACAAAAAGUAACUAAAACAGACAACAAUGGGUAUUUUAUCUGUCUUAUUUACCUCAGGAUAUUUAUGUAGUAUCUUGGUACCUCACCAUUGUUUAGAGUGUUUCAGUGUUCUCUCCUCACCUCUAGUAGUUACAACUUUGCUUAGCCUUCUAAAAUAUUAUUUGGACAUUGAUAAUUACAGUAAAACUAAAUCUAUAAAAACAUCUGCUCACUCAUCCCUGUCAGAGGACAAGAAUGUGAAAUACUUAUAAGUAAAUCCUGAA